AGAGAAGGUAGACUAUGGAACGUAGGCUUUAUGAUUUUUGACCUAUGUAACAUGGUCCACUAACUCU
ensembl:miRNA